GAGCGGACUUUUAAAAGCUUGCUUUUAAAAGUUAGCGGCGGACGGGUGAGUAACACGUGGGUAACCUGCCUGUAAGACUGGGAUAACUCCGGGAAACCGGGGCUAAUACCGGAUAACUUCUUUCCUCGCAUGAGGAAAGAUUGAAAGAUGGCUUCGGCUAUCACUUACAGAUGGACCCGCGGCGCAUUAGCUAGUUGGUGAGGUAACGGCUCACCAAGGCGACGAUGCGUAGCCGACCUGAGAGGGUGAUCGGCCACACUGGGACUGAGACACGGCCCAGACUCCUACGGGAGGCAGCAGUAGGGAAUCUUCCGCAAUGGACGAAAGUCUGACGGAGCAACGCCGCGUGAGUGAUGAAGGUUUUCGGAUCGUAAAACUCUGUUGUUAGGGAAGAACAAGUAUCGUUCGAAUAGGGCGGUACCUUGACGGUACCUAACCAGAAAGCCACGGCUAACUACGUGCCAGCAGCCGCGGUAAUACGUAGGUGGCAAGCGUUGUCCGGAAUUAUUGGGCGUAAAGCGCGCGCAGGCGGUUUCUUAAGUCUGAUGUGAAAGCCCACGGCUCAACCGUGGAG
rnacentral:rRNA from 1 species